rnacentral:misc_RNA from 1 species
UACGAAUGGGGCGAGCGUUGUUCGGAAUCACUGGGCGUAAAGCGUACGCAGGCGGCCAUGCAAGUCAGAAGUGAAAGCCCUGGGCUUAACCCGGGAAUUGCUUUUGAAACUGCACGGCUAGAAUCCCGGAGAGGUUAGGAGAAUUCCGAGUGUAGAGGUGAAAUUCGCAGAUAUUCGGAGGAAUACCAGUGGCGUAGGCGCCUAACUGGACGGGUAUUGACGCUCAGGUACGAAAGCGUGGGGAUCAAACAGG